rnacentral:rRNA from 1 species
AUACGUAGGUGACAAGCGUUAUCCGGAUUUACUGGGCGUAAAGGGCGUGUAGGCGGUCUUGCAAGUCAGAAGUGAAAUUCCUGAGCUCAACUCGGGCGCUGCUUCUGAAACUGCAGGACUUGAGUGCUGGAGGGGAUAGCGGAAUUCCUAGUGGUGCGGUAAAAUGCGCAGAUAGUAGGAAUAACACCGGUAGCGAAGGCGGCUCUCUGGUCACUAACUGACGCUGAGAAGCGAAAGCGUGGGGAAGAAACAGUAUUAGCUUCCUGUGUAGUCCACGCCGUAAACGAAGAAUACUAGGUGUAGGGGGUAUCGACUCCCUCUGUACCGCAGUGAACACAAUAAGUAUUCCGCCUGGGGAGUACGGCCGCAAGGUUGAAACUCAAAUGAAUUGACGGGG